AGGCAGCAGUGGGGAAUUUUGGACAAUGGGCGAAAGCCUGAUCCAGCCAUUCCGCGUGAGUGAAGAAGGCCUUCGGGUUGUAAAGCUCUUUCAGUCGGAAAGAAAAGGCUCUCUCUAAUACAGAGGGCCGAUGACGGUACCGACAGAAGAAGCACCGGCUAACUACGUGCCAGCAGCCGCGGUAAUACGUAGGGUGCAAGCGUUAAUCGGAAUUACUGGGCGUAAAGCGUGCGCAGGCGGUCGUGUAAGACAGGUGUGAAAUCCCCGGGCUUAACCUGGGAACUGCNCUUGUGACUGCACGGCUAGAGUACGGCAGAGGGGGGUGGAAUUCCACGUGUAGCAGUGAAAUGCGUAGAGAUGUGGAGGAACACCGAUGGCGAAGGCAGCCCCCUGGGCCGAUACUGACGCUCAUGCACGAAAGCGUGGGGAGCAAAACAGGAUUAGAUACCCUGGUAGU
rnacentral:rRNA from 1 species